UGGCGGCGUGCUUAAACAUGCAAGUCGAGCGAAUCUCAGCAGCUUAUCGCUGAAGUUAGCGGCAGACGGGUGAGUAAUACUUAGGCAAUCUACCUUCAAGAGGGAAACAACCUGCCGAAAGGCGGGCUAAUGUCCCAUAAGACCACGGGGAUGCAUAUUCCAGAGGUCAAAGCUCCGCAAGGGGCGCUAGAAGAGGAGCCUGAGUCCUAUCAGCUAGUUGGUGAGGUAACGGCUCACCAAGGCUUCGACGGGUAGCCGGCCUGAAAGGGUGAUCGGCCACACUGGCACUGAGACACGGGCCAGACUCCUACGGGAGGCAGCAGUGGGGAAUUUUGGACAAUGGGGGCAACCCUGAUCCAGCGACGCCGCGUGGAGGACGAAGGUCUUCGGAUUGUAAACUCCUUUUAGGGGGGAUGAAUGAACGGGUGAAUAGCCCGGAAUGACAGUACUCCCUGAAUAAGCCACGGCUAACUACGUGCCAGCAGCCGCGGUAAUACGUAGGUGGCAAGCGAUACUCGGAAUCACUAGGCGUAAAGCGCAGGUAGGCGGUUGGGUAAGUCUUUUGUGAAAGCUCCUGGCUUAACUGGGAGAGGUCAAGGGAAACUA
rnacentral:rRNA from 1 species